UAAUACGGAGGAUCCGAGCGUUAUCCGGAUUUAUUGGGUUUAAAGGGUGCGUAGGCGGCACUUUAAGUCAGGGGUGAAAGACGGCAGCUCAACUGUCGCAGUGCCCUUGAUACUGAAGUGCUUGAAUGCGGUUGAAGACGGCGGAAUGAGACAAGUAGCGGUGAAAUGCAUAGAUAUGUCUCAGAACACCGAUUGCGAAGGCAGCUGUCUAAGCCGUUAUUGACGCUGAUGCACGAAAGCGUGGGGAUCGAACAGGAUUAGAUACCCUGGUAGUCCACGCCCUAAACGAUGAUGACUCGAUGUUUGCGAUAUACCGUAAGCGUCCAAGCGAAAGCGUUAAGUCAUCCACCUGGGGAGUACGCCCGCAAGGGUGAAACUCAAAUGAAUUGACGGGG
rnacentral:rRNA from 1 species